rnacentral:rRNA from 1 species
AGAGUUUGAUCCUGGCUCAGGACGAACGCUGGCGGCGUGCUUAACACAUGCAAGUCAAGGAGAACGGAUCCUUCGGGAUACUAUUAAACUGGCGAACGGGUGAGUAACACGUAGGCAACUUGCCUUGGAGAUUGGGAUAACCCCGGGAAACCGGGACUAAUACCAAAUAAUGCAGCGUAUCCUUCGGGAUAUGUUGUUAAAGUGGGCUUCGGCUCACACUUCAAGAUGGGCCUGCGUCCGAUUAGCUUGUUGGUGAGGUAAUGGCUCACCAAGGCGAUGAUCGGUAGCUGGUCUGAGAGGAUGAUCAGCCACACUGGGAUUGAGAUACGGCCCAGACUCCUACGGGAGGCAGCAGUGGGGAAUUUUGCGCAAUGGACGAAAGUCUGACGCAGCAACGCCGCGUGAUUGAUGAAGCUUUUAGGAGUGUAAAGAUCUGUCGUGAGGGAAGAAAAAUCUGGAUGUUAAUAAUGUUCAGACGUGACGGUACCUCAUAAGAAAGCACCGGCUAACUUCGUGCCAGCAGCCGCGGUAAUACGAGGGGUGCUAGCGUUGUCCGGAAUUACUGGGCGUAAAGGGUCCGUAGGCGUCUUGUCAAGUUGAUCGUUAAAUCCACCGGCUUAACCGGUGAUCUGCGAUCAAAACUGGCAGGAUAGAAUAUGUGAGGGGAAUGUGGAAUUCCUGGUGUAGCGGUGACAUGCGUAGAUAUCAGGAGGAACACCAAUGGCGAAGGCAGCAUUCUGGCACAAUAUUGACGCUGAGGAACGAAAGCGUGGGGAGCAAACAGGAUUAGAUACCCUGGUAGUCCACGCCGUAAACGAUGAGUACUUGGUGGUGGGGGAUUCGACCCCUUCACUAGCGGAGCUAACGCAUUAAGUGCUCCGCCUGGGGACUACGGCCGCAAGACUAAAACUCAAAGGAAUUGACGGGGGCCCGCACAAGCGGUGGAACAUGUGGUUUAAUUCGAUGCAACGCGAAGAACCUUACCUGGUCUUGACAUCCUCGGACCGCUUCAGAGAUGAAGUUUCCUCUUCGGAGGCCGAGUGACAGGUGCUGCUUGGCUGUCGUCAGCUCGUGUCGUGAGAUGUUGGGUUAAGUCCCGCAACGAGCGCAACCCCUACCCUUAAUUGCCAUCGGGUUAUGCCGGGCACUUUAGGGGGACUGCCGGUGACAAGCCGGAGGAUGGUGGGGAUGAUGUCAAGUCAGUAUGUCCCUUAUGUCCAGGGCUACACACGUGUUACAAUGGCCGGUACAAUGGGCUGCGAACCUGCGAGGGUAAGCCAAUCCCAAAAAACCGGCCCCAGUUCAGAUUGGAGUCUGCAACUCGACUCCAUGAAGGAUGAAUCGCUAGUAAUCGCGGAUCAGCACGCCGCGGUGAAUACGUUCCCGGGUCUUGUACACACCGCCCGUCAAGCCAUGGAAGUCGGCAGUACCCGAAGCCGGCGUCCCAACUCUUCGGAGAGGGAGCCGUCGAAGGUAAGGCUGGUAACUAGGGCUAAGUCGUAUCAAGGUAGC